UAUAUAGAAUAAAAAAAUAUUAUAGUUGAAUUUAGAGAUGCAAUCCAAUUUAUCCAAAUGAUAACUAAAUCGACUGUAAAAACAACAAAACCGAUUAGAUAUAAUCCCUUAUAUACUAAAUCACAAGUCACCUCACCAAUAAAAUUCUGAAAUGUGGAAUUUAUUUUACAAAUUAAAAAUGCAAAUGCAGAUAAAUCAAAAAACAAUUGCGUAUGUUUGUCUAUCAACUAUUUUCUAUUUUUCCUAUACAAAAAAUCCCUGAUAUUUUUCCACUACUCCCAUGUCCUCACGAUUUUUGGAGCAGUUUUUCUUUCUUUCUACAGAAGAUUUAACUCACUUAUUAUUCUGGAAACUGUAAUAUUCCAAUAUUAUUUGCAAGGGCUAGGCACCUAACUCUCUUCAAAGUGUGGUAAAAAUUUCAAAUCCCAACCAGAUAGAUUGAAAACUUCUAUUGGCCAAAAGUUGCAUAACAAUAGUCUUCGAACAAAAUCCUUUCAAAGACUUGGGGAAAACACAUUUGUUGUGGAUGGCGGAUACGCGGUACGCCAAAGUUGCCAAAUGAACGUUAAAGUCCAGGGAAGGAGACUGUAAGAGAGACUCGCGUCAAAGCAUACAUACAACCGUACAAGGCCCUUAAGAGACAUGAGACGUCCCACAAGAAAAAAAAGCCAUGAUAAUUAGAAGGCAGUAAAUGGGAGUCAAAAACACUCAUGUAAUAAGGGCAACGUCCAACAAGAAACACUCAUGUCUACUAUCUAUAUGAAGGCGUAAUCUGAUGAGGUUGGUAAUCCUUUUUGUGCUUAUAGUUUUAUAGAAAUGUGGUGAUGUUAUUUGUUAACUUUUUAAUCGUUACGUACAUAUUUUGUUA